rnacentral:rRNA from 1 species
UACGAGAGGCCCAAACGUUAUUCGGAAUUACUGGGCUUAAAGAGUUCGUAGGCGGCAUUGCAAGUAGGGUGUGAAAGCCCUCGGCUCAACCGAGGAAUUGCGCUCUAAACUGCAGUGCUUAAGGAACCUAGAGGUGAGCAGAACAGAUGGUGGAGCGGUGAAAUGCGUUGAUAUCAUCUGGAAUACCGGAGGCGAAGGCGGCUCACUGGGAGUUUUCUGACGCUGAGGAACGAAAGCCAGGGUAGCGAACGGG